UACAGGGGGGGCAAGCGUUGUUCGGAAUUACUGGGCGUAAGGGGCUCGUAGGCGGCCAACUAAGUCACACGUGAAAUCCCCAGGCUCAACCUGGGAACUGCGUGUGAUACUGGAUGGCUUGAAUUCGGGAGAGGGAUGCAGAAUUCCAGGUGUAGCGGUGAAAUGCGUAGAUAUCUGGAGGAAUACCGGUGGCGAAGGCGGCAUCCUGGACCGACAUUGACGCUGAUGAGCGAAAGCUAGGGGAGCAAACGGG
rnacentral:rRNA from 1 species